GGCGGCAGGCUUAACACAUGCAAGUCGAGCGCCCACUUCGGUGGGAGCGGCAGACGGGUGAGUAACGCGUGGGAAUGUGCCUUUUGGUUCGGAAUAGCCCCGGGAAACUGGGAGUAAUACCGGAUAAGCCCUUCGGGGGAAAGAUUUAUCGCCAAAAGAUCAGCCCGCGUUAGAUUAGCUAGUUGGUGAGGUAACGGCUCACCAAGGCGACGAUCUAUAGCUGGUCUGAGAGGACGACCAGCCACACUGGAACUGAGACACGGUCCAGACUCCUACGGGAGGCAGCAGUGGGGAAUCUUGGACAAUGGGCGAAAGCCUGAUCCAGCCAUGCCGCGUGAAUGAUGAAGGCCUUAGGGUUGUAAAAUUCUUUCAGCAGGGAAGAUAAUGACGGUACCUGCAAAAGAAGCCCCGGCUAACUCCGUGCCAGCAGCCGCGGUAAUACGGAGGGGGCUAGCGUUGUUCGGAAUUACUGGGCGUAAAGCGCGCGUAGGCGGGUUAUUAAGUCAGAUGUGAAAUCCCAGGGCUCAACCCUGGAACUGCAUUUGAAACUGAUAGCCUAGAGUUCAGGAGAGGUUAGCGGAAUACCGAGUGUAGAGGUGAAAUUCGUAGAUAUUCGGUGGAACACCAGUGGCGAAGGCGGCUAACUGGACUGAUACUGACGCUGAGGUGCGAAAGUGUGGGGAGCAAACAGGAUUAGAUACCCUGGUAGUCCACACCGUAAACGAUGAGUGCUAGUUGUCUGCAGGCAUGCCUGUAGGUGACGCAGCUAACGCAUUAAGCUCUCCGCCUGGGGAGUACGGCCGCAAGGUUAAAACUCAAAGAAAUUGACGGGGGCCCGCACAAGCGGUGGAGCAUGUGGUUUAAUUCGAAGCAACGCGCAGAACCUUACCUACGCUUGACAUGCCUCCUGGACGACUCCGAGAGAUCGGUUUCUCCCUUCGGGGCCAGUGCACAGGUGCUGCAUGGCUGUCGUCAGCUCGUGUCGUGAGAUGUUGGGUUAAGUCCCGCAACGAGCGCAACCCUCAUCCUUAGUUGCCAUCACGUUUGGGUGGGCACUCUAGGGAAACUGCCGGUGCUAAGCCGGAGGAAGGCGGGGAUGACGUCAAGUCCUCAUGGCCCUUACGCGUAGGGCUACACACGUGCUACAAUGGCAGUUACAAUGGGAUAAUCCCCAAAAACUGUCUCAGUUCGGAUUGUCGGCUGCAACUCGCCGGCAUGAAGUUGGAAUCGCUAGUAAUCGUGGAUCAGCAUGCCACGGUGAAUACGUUCCCGGGCCUUGUACACACCGCCCGUCACACCAUGGGAGUUGGAUCUACCCGAAGAUUGUGAGCUAACUUCGGAGGCAGCAAGCCACGGUAGGAUCAGCGACUGGGAUG
rnacentral:rRNA from 1 species